CCUGGAUGGCGCUGCAGCCGGUGGUGAAUUUAACCUCGCGUGAGAAGAAGAGGAAAAGGGGAAACUCUCGAACGACACCGAAUCGGGGGUCGACGAGGGAAACCGCGACUUGGGUUCACGGUGGCCACUGGAGGUACGGUGGUUGCGUACGGCGGUGGUCUGAUUAGGGGUUGCCGGCGUCGUAUGGGCUGGCCAGAUGAGAAUGGUGUCCGUCGGGCAGAGCCGGUGGUGUGCGUGGGCUCGAGGGACGUGCCCCCGCAAGAAAUGGUGGUGCCAGUGGCGCCGUGACCGACUGUGGUCCUGGUGGCGUCAGCUGUUACCGACGAAUGGUGGAGGCGGCAACGCGGUGACUGGCUGGUUGAGUGGAGGCAGGGUGGCCGUUAAGUGGAGGUGUCUCUGGUUUCCUUCAUUUAGAGAGCAAGAAACCGUGGGUCUAUUGAGCAUGCAACGCACAAAUGAAAUGAAAUUUGGAAACCCCUAAUUUCUGUUAGGGUUAAGUGGCGUUGGGCCUGGCUAAUGGACUGGCUUUUCUUCCCUGCACCCCUCAUUCACGUUUCACACCCCAACUUCUAUUCUGCAAAUAAAAAGAAAGGGUUUGGGCCUGGCUAUUGGGCUGCGGCCUUUCUUUCCUGCACCUUUUGUUCUCUAUUCGCACCCCUACUCCGUUUCAGCAAACAAGAAAGGAAAAUUGGGCUUGGGCUGUUUCGGGUUGCACCCCCACUUUCAGCCUUGCACCCCUGUCAGAUUAAAAGUUGAAGAGGAGACCGUGGGCUUGACCAGCAACUACUACGCGCCACCUCCAAUUUUGUUGUCGCAACCCCUAUCUUUGGNCUGGACCAAAGAGGCCUCAAUUUCAGACUGCACUCUUGGUUUUGUCUUNUACACUCUUUUUUUUUAUUCCUUAUUGGGCCUAUUGGACUGUAUUGUUUUUAUUAUUAUUGUCUUUUCUUUUAUUCCUUUAGCUUUAGAAUUUGUUUUAUU
rnacentral:lncRNA from 1 species